rnacentral:rRNA from 1 species
GCGUUGUUCGGAAUUACUGGGCGUAAAGGGCGUGUAGGCGGUACCAUAAGUCAGAUGUGAAAGCCCUAGGCUUAACCUAGGAUGUGCAUUUGAUACUGUGGAACUAGAGAUCGAGAGAGGAAAGUGGAAUUACGAGUGUAGAGGUGAAAUUCGUAGAUAUUCGUAAGAACACCAGUGGCGAAGGCGACUUUCUGGCUCGAUACUGACGCUAAGGCGCGAAAGCGUG